rnacentral:misc_RNA from 1 species
ACAAACCUUGGCAAAUUUAACAGGGUGUUGACACGAGAAACUCCUUCUAGCGCAGACCACUCUAUCCCCGAUUCCAAUUGCAUUUCAUCUUGCUUCGAGGAAUCCUCUUCUGCACUUCCAUCUAAGAGUGCCUCUUUCCCAGUCCGCACAGUACCUGAGCGGGCCAAUCCUGUCGGACCAGAGAGAUCACCCUCUUUCUGAUUGUCAAUGUCAGUUUGAUCCACUGAAGUAGGCUGCUGCUCUUUUGUAUUAGCGUUGGAUGCAGUGGAUAAAUUGCUAGUGCCAAGGAAGAGGCAAACUACAGCACAAUCAUCCACUUUGGAAGUUGGAUACUUGCAUCUCCAAGCUCGAACUGCUGACUCAACCAAGGCUCUCGCUGCAGAAGAACGUGCUGGGGCUGAUGCUACAAUGUCUACCACUUCUUUAUUUGAGA